rnacentral:ncRNA from 1 species
UGAGAGCUGUGAUAUGUAAGGUUGCUGUUCAUGGAACAGGUAAUUUACAUGGAGCAAAUGUCCGUUCAAGAAACAGGCGACAA